rnacentral:lncRNA from 1 species
UGAGGUCAGAGUACAAAGGCACACCUUGCCAGUCAAAAAUCCGGGUCAACCUUGGAUGUUUGAGUACGAUGACUUCUUCAAUUCGAUCAAUGUUGAAGUCCAGAUCCGAGGAGGGAAUUAAGGAGUCAUGAAAUAAGGGACAUGGGAUCGUGGGCUAGUGCAUUCAGACUUGACAACUUGUUCGGUAACAAUAUGUGAAAGCCAAAUAGA